rnacentral:rRNA from 1 species
CAGCCGCCGCGGUAAUACGUAGGGGGCGAGCGUUGUCCGGAAUUAUUGGGCGUAAAGCGCGCGCAGGCGGUCCUUUAAGUCUGAUGUGAAAGCCCACGGCUCAACCGUGGAGGGUCAUUGGAAACUGGGGGACUUGAGUGCAGGAGAGGAGAGCGGAAUUCCAUGUGUAGCGGUGAAAUGCGUAGAGAUGUGGAGGAACACCAGUGGCGAAGGCGGCUCUCUGGCCUGUAACUGACGCUGAGGCGCGAAAGCGUGGGGAGCAAACAGGAUUAGAUACCCUGGUAGUCCACGCCGUAAACGAUGAGUGCUAAGUGUUAGAGGGGUCACACCCUUUAGUGCUGCAGCUAACGCGAUAAGCACUCCGCCUGGGGAGUACGGCCGCAAGGCUGAAACUUAAAGGAAUUGGCGGG